AAAAGUAGAAAAAUUUCAAAAGGAGGAAAAAAGAAGGAACCAGCAUAAUACCUUUUAACAAUCACACGCUAUGGUCUGAUGUUUAGCUUUAAAAUUAUUAUUGUGACUACAGAAAGUACCUGCGUGAACAGGAAAAGCAAGAGAUUUUCUGACGUCAAGGUAUGCUCUUAUCUGAAACCAGCAAUAAAUGUCAUACAUUCUACUACUAUUUGGGAUAAAAUGCACAAACCAGAUAAACUCACACAUUGCUUCCCUAGCUAGAGUUGGUUCUGGGCCACACAGGAAGUGACAGGUUGCUAGGUGUGGUGCUGGGGCUUUGAGUUGGUAAGGGAGUGUUCCUGUAUGUUCCCUAAAAAUGGAGAUAAUUGAAAACCUAAGGGACAAUUCUGUGAGCAUGGGAAUUCUGUGAACAUGGGAGAUGGUAUUUAGGGAUAGCUCUGGAGUCCCUGGGUAGAUGUGGGGGAAUUAUAUGCGGUCUCAGGAUCACAGUGGUGACUUAACUAGGGAUAGGACUGGGCUACAUUUUUGCAGGGGGGGUGGGGAUGGUCUAGAAAGAUGUUUGGUAUAUCCAUUCAGUCUUGGACACAAGGAACGUGAUAGUUUACUAGUGGCAGGUUCUGGGUAUAUCACAUGAGCUAUCAGGGCACAUGGGAAGUGACAGCCUGGUAUUGGGGUCUCU